GACGAACGCUGGCGGCAUGCCUAAUACGUGCAAGUCGAGCGAACAGAUGAAGUGCUUGCACUUCUGACGUUAGCGGCGAACGGGUGAGUAACACGUAAGGAAUCUACCUAUAAGCGGAGGAUAACAUUCGGAAACGGGUGCUAAUACCGCAUAAUAUCUUCUUCCGCAUGGAAGAAGAUUGAAAGACGGCUCUGCCGUCACUUAUAGAUGACCUUGCGGUGCAUUAGUUAGUUGGUGGGGUAACGGCCUACCAAGACGAUGAUGCAUAGCCGACCUGAGAGGGUGAUCGGCCACAUUGGGACUGAGACACGGCCCAAACUCCUACGGGAGGCAGCAGUAGGGAAUCUUCCGCAAUGGGCGAAAGCCUGACGGAGCAAUGCCGCGUGAGUGAAGAAGGCCUUCGGGUCGUAAAACUCUGUUAUAAGAGAAGAACAAAUUGUAGAGUAACUGCUACAGUCUUGACGGUAUCUUAUCAGAAAGCCACGGCUAACUACGUGCCAGCCGCCGCAGUAA
rnacentral:rRNA from 1 species